CCCCUAGAUGUUCUGGGCCGCACGCGCGCUACACUGAACAGUUCAACAAGUCUUAACCUUGGCCGAUAGGUCUGGGUAAUCGUUGAACGCUGUUCGUGAUUGGGAUAGACCUUUGCAAUUAUGGGUCUUCAACGAGGAAUUCCUAGUAAACGCAAGUCAUCAGCUUGCAUUGAUUACGUCCCUGCCCUUUGUACACACCGCCCGUCGCACCUACCGAUUGAAUGGUCCGGUGAAAUCUCGGGACGGCGGCUUGGUCGCUUGCGUCCGACUGCUGAAACUUGAUUAAACCAUAUCAUUUAGAGGAAGGUGAAGUCGUAACA
rnacentral:rRNA from 1 species